AACUUGGCAUGGGGGAAACCCCGACCAGGGGAAUCCAGUGCUUGCACUUUGUGUAAGCUGUUCAAUUGUCUAAAAAACAGUUGAAGUAAGGGCUGGGUAAGACAGGUG
rnacentral:rRNA from 1 species